AAGUCGUAACAAGGUUUCCGUAGGUGAACCUGCGGAAGGAUCAUUAUUGAAUUUUCUGAGGGUUGUUGCUGGGUUCCCCCCUAACAAGGGGUUCCAAAGUGCACGCCCUUGUCCAUUCUCACACCCCUGUGCACCUAUUGUAGGUUUGGUGGCAGAGCUGACUUUUCUUUUCAUUUGUGUUGAGAAAGUUGGUUUGAAAGCCUUGCCUAUGCUUUAAUACACGCUUUAGUCUAUGAAUGUCACUCUGCGUAUAACGCAUUAAAUAUAACUUUCAACAACGGAUCUCUUGGCUCUC
rnacentral:misc_RNA from 1 species